rnacentral:rRNA from 1 species
UACGAAGGGGGCUAGCGUUGCUCGGAAUGACUGGGCGUAAAGGGCGCGUAGGCGGAUUGUACAGUCAGGCGUGAAAUUCCCGGGCUCAACCUGGGGGCUGCGCUUGAGACGUGCGAUCUUGAGUGGGGAAGAGGGUCGUGGAAUUCCCAGUGUAGAGGUGAAAUUCGUAGAUAUUGGGAAGAACACCGGUGGCGAAGGCGGCGACCUGGUCCUUGACUGACGCUGAGGCGCGAAAGCGUGGGGAGCAAA